UACAGAGGUCUCAAGCGUUGUUCGGAUUCAUUGGGCGUAAAGGGUGCGUAGGCGGCGCGGUAAGUCGGAUGUGAAAUCUCGGAGCUUAACUUCGAAACUGCAUUCGAUACUGCCGUGCUUGAGGACUGGAGAGGAGACUGGAAUUUACGGUGUAGCGGUGAAAUGCGUAGAUAUCGUAAGGAAGACCAGUGGCGAAGGCGGGGUCUCUGGACAGUUCCUGACGCUGAGGCACGAAGGUCAGGGGGAGCAAACGGGG
rnacentral:rRNA from 1 species